AACGAACGCUGGCGGCAUGCCUAACACAUGCAAGUCGAACGAGACCUUCGGGUCUAGUGGCGCACGGGUGCGUAACGCGUGGGAACCUGCCCUUAGGUUCGGAAUAACUCCCCGAAAGGGGUGCUAAUACCGGAUAAUGUCUUCGGACCAAAGAUUUAUCGCCUUUGGAUGGGCCCGCGUGGGAUUAGCUAGUUGGUAGGGUAAAAGCCUACCAAGGCGACGAUCCAUAGCUGGUCUGAGAGGAUGAUCAGCCACACUGGGACUGAGACACGGCCCAGACUCCUACGGGAGGCAGCAGUGGGGAAUAUUGGACAAUGGGCGAAAGCCUGAUCCAGCAAUGCCGCGGGAGUGAUGAAGGCCUUAGGGUUGUAAAGCUCUUUUACCCGGGAUGAUAAUGACAGUACCGGGAGAAUAAGCUCCGGCUAACUCCGU
rnacentral:rRNA from 1 species